UAUAUAUAUAUAUCGGCGCAAGCAGCUUCAACGACGGAUGCAACAUGAAAAUAACUGGCACCAAUUAUUAUAACACCUUAUUGGUCGUCGUUACUAUUGUUAAAAGGACUGCAGAGUUCAGCGAGUGCGGAGCAUAAAGAACCUUCGAGAAAUACAAGAACAUUUAGAAGAAUUGAAGUUUCAUUUUAAAAUAUCUGGAACUUACUGAAACAAGUGACAUUAGAGACGUCAGCGAGGCUGGCGUCCUGUCUUUAAAAUAAUGAAUUUGUAAUAAAAUCCGAUAUCAGAAGUGGGAUCGCUCCUGUGAUCAGUUACUGCCGGUCUUAGUGUAUUUGUAAAUCCUGAUCGAGCUCAAGAAAAUAAUCAUCCGGAAAACUUGCGUAAUGAAGAACGCUCCUCAGUCUUUCAUGCAAAUGAUGUCAACAAUGCAGAGCGUGACCGAACGUUUGCUACUAAAAAAACAAGGGAUACGAUUAAAAUUACUAACAAGAUCAUAUUAAUUUUAUCAUCUUUUGAUCCCGGUGAUAGUGUGUGUGUUCGGGAUUGAUUCAAACGCAUCUUUACGGCUGUAAAUACGUACCAAAUCAGUAACUACGACAUUCGAAUUAAAGUCUUUUAAAGGAGUGAGCUAGAAAGUGUGCAGACGAUUGGUUAGUUGCAACAUCUACACAAGAGGCAUUACGUGAGACCAUAGCUAACAUUUGUUAUUAUGCUUUGAGCUAACCUCGUGUCCAUGAUGUAUUCUCAAGAGAACCAUGAGAUUCUGUAGGGAAGGCUUGUGGUACCGUGACAAGACAAUUAUACACCACCGAUCUGGAGAGCGUGACCUCUGAGCUAAUCACGUGUUACCCUUGAGCUAACCACGGGUCCUUGAUGUAUCCAUAAGAGAACCAUGAGAUUCCGUAGGGAUGCCUUGUGGAGCCGUGAGAAGACAAGUCUACACCACAGAUGUGGAGAGCGUACCUCUGAACUAAUCGCGUGUUACUCUUGAGCCAACCACAGGUCCUUGCUGUAUCCUUAAGAAUACCAUGAGAUGACGUAGGGAGGCCUUGGGAAGACUUGAGUAUAAAGUUCCAGGUUUUGAAACGACUACUGAUAUAUUAACCGGAGCAGAUUUAUUACGUGAUAAGAAUACAUGUGGAAAAUUUAGUAUCCUUGCCGAUGUUUUGCACAUACGAACAAGUCAAUUAUGCUUUGACAGUUUAGAUUACAAUUCAACAAUCAGUCCGUUUAAAUCGAAGUAAUGCACCAACACAUUCAAAACAGGAUGGUCGAGGCGGAGAGAAGAUACAAAGCUAGGUUUUUGAGAGGUCGAGCUACGAUUAAAAGAUUCCAGAAGGGAGAUAUUGUAAUAAUAAAAAUAUAGCCCCAGAAAUCGGAUAUCCCUAUAUUUAAAAUUUUGUGAACUAUACAAAAUCCAGAAAAUAAUUGAGAAUGAUUAAUAUCUUGUAAAGUGAUUUUAGACAAUGGAUGACUUCGAAAUGUGGCACAUGACCAGCUACGAAUGUGGCACUUGACCAGCUACGAUGAGACUUCACAGCAUCUGAGGGACGACACAGAAUUACUAAGCAAGCAGUUAGGUGGACGGUUCGCCUACCUAAUAGUUAUCCG